rnacentral:rRNA from 1 species
GACCUCGGAUCAGGUAGGGAUACCCGCUGAACUUAAGCAUAUCAAUAACCGGAGAAA